AUUAAAGUUGCUGCAGUUAAAAAGCUCGUAGUUGGAUUUCUGGCUUGAUUCGCCUGGCCUGCCACGGUUUCGUGUGUGAGUGCUGGGUCGAGUCGGCCAUCCUUCGUUUAUGAUUGAUUGUUCUUUAUUGAGCAGUCAACUCGUGGACGAUCGUUUACUUUGAAAAAAUUAGAGUGUUUCAAGCAGGCUUUAGCUUUGAAUACAUGAGCAUGGAAUAAUAAAGUAGGACUUUGGUUCUAGUUUGUUGGUUUGGAGAGCUGAAGUAAUGAUGGAUAGGGACAGUUGGGGGUGCUAGUAUUCAGCGGCCAGAGGUGAAAUUCUUGGAUUCGCUGAAGACUCACUACGGCGAAAGCAUUCACCAAGGAUGUCUUCUUUAAUCAAGAACGAAAGUUGGGGGAUCGAAGACGAUCAGAUACCGUUGUAGUCUCAACCUUAAACGAUGCCGACUAGGGAUGAGUGAUCGUUGUUUUUUCGACUUCAUUCGCACCUUAGGAGAAAUCAAAGUCUUUGGGUUCCGGGGGGAGUAUGGUCGCAAGGCUGAAACUUAAAGGAAUUGACGGAAGGGCACCACCAGGAGUGGAGCCUGCGGCUUAAUUUGACCCAACACGGGAAAACUUACCAGGUCCAGGCACAGUUAGGAUUGACAGAUUGAAGAUCUUUCUUGAUUCUGUGGGUGGUGGUGCAUGGCCGUUCUUAGUUGGUGGAGCGAUCUGUCUGGUUUAUUCCGUUAACGAACGAGACCUCGACCUGCUAAAUAGUUCGGAUCAGACUUCGGUCUGGUUUCGGCACUUCUUAGAGGGACUAUCGGUGGUUAGCCGAUGGAAGUUCGAGGCAAUAACAGGUCUGUGAUGCCCUUAGAUGUUCUGGGCCGCACGCGCGCUACACUGAUGGAUUCAUCGAGCUUAUUUCCUUGACUGAGAAGUCUGGGUAAUCUUUUCAAUGUCCAUCGUGCUGGGGAUAGAUGAUUGUAAUUAUUCAUCUUCAACGAGGAAUUCCUAGUAAACGCAAGUCAUCAACUUGCAUUGAUUACGUCCCUGCCCUUUGUACACACCGCCCGUCGCUACUACCGAUUGAAUGGAUUAGUGAGCUUCAGGGAUGCUCGCUCAGGUGGCUUCCACUUGGGUAGGCAGAACUGAAUCAAACUUGCUCAUUUAGAGGAAGUAAAAGUCGUAACAAGGUCUCCGUAGGUGAACCUGCGGAGG
rnacentral:rRNA from 1 species